UACAAGCUCAAGUUCUAAGCCCUUGAGCCAGAAUUCAAGGCGCCCCCAUCUGCCCCACUCCAAUUCCCAACUGCCCUCUUUCCACCCGCCCUACAAACUGUUCCAACUGCCCAGCCAGUUCCCAGCCUUCCGAAGACGCCUUGCAGUCUCCCUCUCCUGGGACAAAUGUAAGACGAAUACUCCAAGAAGAACUAAAUGCAGAAAAAUUAUCACUUCAAACACUUAGACCCAAGUACAGUCCUUCCUACCAAAGGGGAAUGGCCAGUCUGAU
rnacentral:lncRNA from 1 species